UUAAGCCAUGCAUGUCUAAGUAUAAACGAUUUAAUCGUGAAACCGCGAAUGGCUCAUUAUAACAGCUAUAAUUUACUUGAUCUUGACACAAUCCUACUUGGAUAACUGUGGUAAUUCUAGAGCUAAUACAUGCAUUAAAGCUCUGACCUCACGGGAAGAGUGCAUUUAUUAGAACAAAACCAAGCGGCUUCGGCUGUUUCUGGUUGACUCAUAGUAACUGAGCUGAUCGCAUGGUCUUGCACCGGCGACGUGUCUUUCAAGUAUCUGCCGUAUCAACUUUCGAUGGUAGUGUAUCUGACUACCAUGGUGAUCACGCGUAACGGAGAAUAAGGGUUCGGCUCCGGAGAGUUCGCCUGAGAAAUCGCGAACACAUCUAAGGAAGGCAGCAGGCGCGAAAAUUACCCACUCUCAGCACGAGGAGGUAGUGACGAAAAAUAACGAGACCGUUCUCUUAUGAGGCCGGUCAUCGGAAUGGGUACAAUUUAAACCCUUAACGAGUAU
rnacentral:rRNA from 1 species